rnacentral:tRNA from 1 species
GGUGGUUCAGUGGUAGAGCGCUUGUCUUGCACGCAUGAGGCUCUGGGUUCAAUUCCUCAGCACCA